AAGAAAAGCAUUUUCACUUUUGAGCAGUUGUUUGUCAGCUUUUAGAAGUGUUUGCACAUUGUAAGAGAACUAAAGCUGACGUUAGACGUCUCUUCAGUGAGAACUGCAAGUGAGCAGUUAAAACUGUUAGGUAUGAAAAACUCUGGUCUGUAAAUAAAGAACAGUUUAGAAUGUAUGAAUGAUAGACCAUAUGAACGUCAUUGAAUGAUUGAUAUUGAUAUUAAAAUCCCACUGGUCUCUGCCAAGACCAGACCAAGGACCAGAGCCGUUUACUUCCUGUUUGUGCCAAGAGUAGGGGAUGGUAGCAAGAAAGCUCACAAAGAAAAAGGAACGACUGCUUCAUCUCAUCCAACGGAUACAUGUGCCACAUGGAGCCAUAUUGUGGAUCGCACAUUCUCCUCCCAGAGAGAGGCUUGGAUCAGGGACCCAGCGUUAUCAUAGUUUUGGUUUGUCUUGUAAAUGGUCGUCCAUUUUACAAAGAUGUUACUGGAGGGUCCAUCGACCUGCUCACCUUCCCAGCAACGGUUUGGAACGAAACCACUGAGCCAUGGAAGGAGAUAUCCGCUGUGCUACCACUGAAGAUCAGUUCAUGGCGGGAGCCACGACAGACCCACAGCUCAGCCUCAUUUCUGGAAGUGAUGUCUUCGGGGUAACACCCCUCAUUUAAAGCAAAUGCUUCUCAAGGUUUAAUAAAACGAUGGACAAAGCAAGUGCAGAGAACGAGACAGUUGGACGCUCACCUCGAGUUAUGUUCUUUGCAGUGAUGAUUUUAUGACCACUGCUAUAAAGGAACACCAUUACGAGAAGCAUUUGGCUUGAAGGUAAGUAUAAACAAAGUUGGCGCCAAAGAGUAAAUCAUGUCUUGUUUACAUAAUGUCUUCUAAACACUAUUCCACCAUAGCUACAAGGCGGCAAAGCAUUAUUCUUCUUCCGUAAACAUCGUUUGACAGCAACAUGUUUACUGUGGAGGGAGUGGCAGGGGCGAUGGCGGCGAACAUCCAUCCUUGAUGUACGGGCACAUAUAAAGGCUAUAAAACAGGAUACAAACCCCUUUACGUUCAUCAAGAAAACAAUCUAAAACAAUAAUUCAAGCAUGAGCAACCUCAGCAUCUUUAGUCUUAAGUUCAUGCUCUGCAAGUUCUCUGUUUCAUCUCCAAAUGUUUCUUCCUCCCUGAAAACUAUUAACACAUCGCUCAAAUCUGCUAUAAUCACUGUAAACAUCUUCUGUCUCGUACACCGCCAUGUUUGUUGACCUGAGAGAUAUUACUCCGAUGAUGGCACUUCUGGGAAUGAGGCUGAACUGCGAGAGAUAGUUGGCGCAAUUAACCAUUAAUGCAAUUUUCGCAAAAGAAAGACGUUUUGGAGGGCUCUGGACGCUUGGUUUAACAGAAUUUUUUUUACUGUUUUUUUUCUAACACUGAUAUCUACUGACAUCAAUGCAAACCGGACUUCGUUAUAUGGGCCGCAGAUUGCACUCAGUAAACAUGGACCUAAGUAUCUGGAAGUCCUCAGGAGCACUUGGGAGUAUGAUCAAUCACAGCGGAGUGGGUGUACCUUGAGGAGGACGGGUUGUGGAGUAAAUUAAACAAACUUUUUGUGUAAGAAGCAGAAAGUCCAUUGAAAAACUGCAUAAAGUGCAGAAUCUGGAAAAUUUACACAAUAGGUUGCCUUUAAGCAAAGUUGAUGAAUCAUGUCAGGGUCCUUUUAAAUAUGCAAACAUCAUUUUACAUUGAAUAUGUCACUCUAUUAACAGAUGUGUUAUAACGUGUGACCAUGUCAGUUGUGGUAUGUGCGUAUAUGUGGUGAGGUAAGAAGAAAAAGGAUAGUGCCAGACCAUCAUAAAUAAAUGUAUGCAUGGGAAACAGUGGUAUCUAAAGAUAUACAAAAAACAUUGAGGUAAAACUGUUAGCAUAAUGCAAAAUGUAUGCAAUUUUCUUUGGUUUUUGUUUUUUUUUGUGACUCUGCCACAGAAAGUGAAAAAAUCCAAUCUGAAGAGCGUCACCUCACAGGCGGAUGCAGUAAAUCUAAGCAUCUAAAUCACAUCUAAGUUGAGUAAGCAAUGUAGCGUUUUGAAGUAUUACUAUACUGUGGGUAAUUUCUGUUUUCUCCUUGCAGCGGGACGGACCAGGUCUCCCUUAAACAUUAAUGUCCACAUCAUCGAAGGAUCUUUCUGUACUCACAGCUCUGGUGACCGACAGGAAGCGGUCAUAACUGAUGAGGACGAUGUUGAAGACAGAGGCGGUGCAGAGCAGGUUGUACGGAAUGUACACCGGGAUGCAGAAGGCACCUGCGGGUGGGAAAAGAACACAUCAGGGAUGAGUCCGUGGAGUAUGAAGAACUCAUAAAGUACAUCACCGCAUUGUGAGUGUCCUCCCUGGAGAUGCUUCUCUUCACCUGCUUGCUGCUGAUUUGACCCUCUUGUUCCCU